rnacentral:rRNA from 1 species
GACGAACGCUGGCGGCGUGCUUAACACAUGCAAGUCGAACGGAAAGGCCCUGCUUUUGUGGGGUGCUCGAGUGGCGAACGGGUGAGUAACACGUGAGUAACCUGCCCUUGACUUUGGGAUAACUUCAGGAAACUGGGGCUAAUACCGGAUAGGAGCUCCUGCUGCAUGGUGGGGGUUGGAAAGUUUCGGCGGUUGGGGAUGGACUCGCGGCUUAUCAGCUUGUUGGUGGGGUAGUGGCUUACCAAGGCUUUGACGGGUAGCCGGCCUGAGAGGGUGACCGGCCACAUUGGGCCUGAGAUACGGACCAGACGGCAACGGGAGGCAACGGGGGAGAGUAUUGCCCAGUGGGGGGAAGCCUGAUGCAGCAACGCUGCGUGCGGGAUGACGGCCUUCGGGUUGAAAACCGCUUUCGCCUGUGACGAAGCGUGAGUGACGGUAAUGGGUAAAGAAGCACCGGCUAACUACGUG